CGAAGAAAACUUUGCAAUGUGCGGAAGCACGACAAGGUUAAUCCGAGUGGUUUCUGCUAAAGGAACCUUUUGACAGUCCUAGAAACACUGUUGAAUAAGGGUGGGCAAGUUCUGGUGUCAGCCGCCGCGGUAAAACCAGCACCUCAAGUGGUCAGGAUGAUUAUUGGGACCUAAAGCAUCCGUAGCCUGUUCUGUAAGUUUCCGGUUAAAUCCAUUAGCUCAACUAAUGGGCUGCCGAAAAAUACUGCAGAACUAGGGAGUGGGAGAGGUAGACGGUACUCGGUAGGAAGGGGUAAAAAUCCUUUGAUCUAUUGAAUGACCACCUGUGGCGAAGGCGGUCUACCAGGAACACGUUCGACGGUGAGGGAUGAAAGC
rnacentral:rRNA from 2 species